CCAGCAAAAAGCCUUAUCAAUGCAAUCUGUUACCCGGAAUCAAACAGAUUCUGUACUGCAGCUAUGAGGUAUGGAUGUAAGCAUGAGGCACAGGCACAGAAGGACUACGAAAAAAUAAUGAGAGAGUUACAUGAUGGCUACUCUAUAGCAGAUUCUGGCCUUUGUCUUAAUGCAAAGUGGCCCUUCAUGGGAGCAUCACCAGAUGGGAUUGUUGUUUGCAGUUGUCACAACUGGAGUGUGUGAAAUCAAGUGCCCACAUUGUCAUCAAGACAAGGAGAACAUCAGAGCUUGUGCGGGAGAAAAGGGUUUCUGCCUGGUAAAGGACGGUGACAAGAUAAAGCUGGACAGAUCACAUGCCUACUGCUAUCAAAUUCAAGCACAGCUCUUUAUCUUGCAAGUAGACUACUGUGAUUUUAUUGCAUGGAACAAGAAUUACAUUUUUAUAGAGAGAAUUUUGCCUGACGUGGAGUUUUGGGAUAGCGUCACCCCUAAGGCUGAACGUUUUUUUCAGAAACGUAUCCUCCCUGAAGUUUUGGGAAAGAAAUUCACCAAGCAAGUUUCUGCAUCUCUGCUCUCCCUUAAUUUAUUUUAUUUAACUGUCAGCCACCCCUUGCUCACCGUCAUUUCAUUUUAUUUAUCCACUAUAUGAUAUGAUAUUUAUCCACAAUGCCGUAUGUGUAUGUGUAUGUAUGUGUAUGUAUGUAUGUAUAAGUGUAUAU